rnacentral:rRNA from 1 species
GCCUAGCACCAUUUGAAAAUUUUUGUUGGCAACCCUGCUUCUAUAAGCUCAGAAGCUAAGCAGAAUCUAGCCUGGUUAGGACUUCAGUGGGAGAACAGUUAAAAAUAGCAGGUUAUAUAGGCU